GAGGCUGGAACAGAGCCAAUGAAAAACGAUGGAGAGCAUUCUAGUUCUAUUGCGUUUAAGCGAGUAAUGGAUGAUGUUCUGCGUCCGGGUAUGGAGAACAAAUAUGUUUAUCAGAAUAUUGAAUCAGAAUAUUAUCGAAAGGCAAUGGAGCGAUUAGCGCGCAAAGGAGGGUUUUUAUCUGGAUUUCAUAAAUUUUUUGUAACUUUAAGGCAUAAAGCUCGUUUAUCAACUGACGUUUAUACAUUAUUAUUUCUAUGCGAUUUUUUAAAUUUUUUCGUUUUACUCUUUGGAUUCCCCAAAUUUGUAUAUCGGUACAAAUAUAGCACUAGCGUUUUGGAGACAUACAUUCAAGGAAACAAAGUUCCAUUUAGCUUUGUAAUUAUGUUGAUUGUUCAAUUUAUAACUAUUGUUAUUGAGCGUGCCAUCUAUCUUCGAAAAGCUUUGAUAUAUAAAAUUAUAUUUCAUUACAUUACUGUUGUUGGAAUUCAUAUUUGGAUGUUCUUUUUGGUUCCUUAUAUGACGGCGCAUAGUUUUGGGGAAACAGCACCUGUUUUGUUUUAUUUAAUAAAAUGUCUUCAUAUGCUUUUAUCUGCAUACCAAAUUCGAUGUGGUUACCCAAAACGUAUAUUGGGAAAUGUUUUACCAAAGGAUACUCGUUAGUUAAUUAUAUAGCAUUUAAAGUGUAUAUGGAGAUACCAUUUCUGUAUAUUUUUCGAACAAUGUUAGAUUGGGUAUGCAUUGACACAACUCUUACAAUUAUGGAAUGGAUUAAAAUGGAGGACAUUUUUCAAUCGGUUUUUAUUGUUCGUUGCUAUAGACAGAUGGAUACUGAUUUUCCUGUCUUACGUGCUGAACCUAAGGCUUUAUAUGUGAAAAUCUUAACUGGUGGAACUAUUAUAUUGAUUCUCGUAACCCUAGUAUGGAGCCCAUUAUUUCUUUUUGCUCUAGUUGGAACUGUGGGUAAACAUAAUACUCCUACAAAGGCUGAUAUAACAGUAAAAAUUAGCAACUAUGAACCAAUAUACGUGUCUCAAACCUAUUCUGGUAUUUAUAAUUUUUCCGAUGCAGAUUAUGAAGGCUUAAAAUAUCGCUUCCGUAAUAAUUAUGCGUCAGAUCAUAUAACAUUGUAUGAUGCAAUGGAUAUUACUGCAAUUAAGUUUGAUGCAAACUCAAGAACUUUGUGGAACAUGUCACCUCCGGAUAAAAACGUUUAUUAGAUGAUUUAAAAAUGGGAAAAGAUUUGGAAAUACGCUUAAAAAUUGAAUUAAAAUGUUACUUAACACCAGAAACUGUUGUUUAUGAAACUAUUUACGUCUUAAAAAAAACAAAUUAAAAACAAGAGAAAUGCUAUUAAAAAUAAUGAAUUCUGAAAAUAUCAAUGAGAAAGUUAUAGUACCGGAUAUAUUACCAAAAUUUGUAACAGUGCAAAAAGAGAAAGUGAACGGUAAAUUUAUU